rnacentral:rRNA from 1 species
CGAGUGCCCCAAGCGUUAUCCGGAAUCAUUGGGCGUAAAGGGUGUGUAGGUGGUGUUGUUAGUCUUCUGUUAAAUUCUUCGGCUCAACCGGGGUCCUGCAGAAGAAACGGCAAUACUAGAGGAUGUUAGGGGUGUACGGAACUCAUGGAGUAGGGGUGAAAUCCGUUGAUAUCAUGGGGAACACCGAAAGCGAAGGCAGUACACUGGAGCAUUCCUGACACUGAAACACGAAAGCGUGGGUAGCGAACGGGAUUAGAUACCCCGGUAGUCCACGCCCUAAACGUUCUUCACUAGCUUUGGGGGGAAUCGACCCCCUCCGAGGCGAAGCUAACGCGUUAAGUGAAGCGCCUGGGUAGUACGGCCGCAAGGCUA